rnacentral:rRNA from 1 species
CGCUAUCACUCCUACGGGAGGCAGCAGUGGGGAAUAUUGCACAAUGGGGGAAACCCUGAUGCAGCCAUGCCGCGUGUGUGAAGAAGGCCUUCGGGUUGUAAAGCACUUUCAGUAGGGAGGAAGGUAGUGUAGUUAACACCUGCAUUAUUUGACGUUACCUACAGAAGAAGCACCGGCUAACUCCGUGCCAGCAGCCGCGGUAAUACGGAGGGUGCGAGCGUUAAUCGGAAUUACUGGGCGUAAAAGCGCAUGCAGGCGGCCUGUUAAGUCAGAUGUGAAAGCCCGGGGCUUAACCUCGGAAUUGCAUUUUGAAAACUGGCAGGCUAGAGUCUUGUAGAGGGGGUAGAAUUUCAGGUGUAGCGGUGAAAAUGCGUAGAGAUCUGAAGGAAUACCAGUGGCGAAGGCGGCCCCCUGGACAAAGACUGACGCUCAGAUGCGAAAGCGUGGGGAGCAAACAGGAUUAGAUACCCUGGUAG